UCCCUGGGGCACCCUCGCACCUUCUCUGACUCCACGGGUAAUUGGGAGGAAGUUCCGGAGAGCCGCUGCGCGCAAACGCGACACGCCAACCUUGCGCCAGCGCGCCGCAAGUGCGCAGGCGCCGCCGCUCUGCUGCUCUUCCUCGUCCCUCUGCCUACAGCAGGCUGUCGGGUCCUAUGUCGCGCCGGGCCCUCCGGAGGCUGAGGGGGGAACAGCGCGGCCAGGAACCCCUAGGGCCCGACGCCUUGCAGUUUGCCCUCCUUGAUGACGAUGACGCGGAGGAAGAGGGACCAAAACAAGGGUUGGGUGGCCGGCGCCCCGGGGGCGCAGGGAAGGAAGGCGUCCGUGUCAACAACCGGUUCGAGCUGAUAAACAUCGAGGAUCUUGAGGAUGACCUUGUGGUAAAUGGGGAGAAGUCUGACUGUACCCUGCCGGACUCUGUGUCAUCAGGGAACAAAGGAAGGGCUCAGCGUGGAAACUCAGAGACGAAGCAAGAUGGGGAUGUGGCCAAGGCAGGGUUCCCAGAACAGUCUAAUGCGAGUGGCAAACUCCGAAAGAAGAAAAAGAAGCAGAAAAAUAAGAAAAGCUGCACAGGAGAAUCCUCGGAAAAUGGGCUAGAAGAUAUUGAUCGCAUCUUAGAGAGGAUUGAAGACAGCAGUGGGGUCAUCCACCCAGGCCCCCCUCCACUGAAUUCCAGGAAGCAUGUCCUCUAUGUGGAGCACAGACACUUGAAUCCAGAUACAGAACUGAAAAGGUAUUUUGGUGCUCGAGCAGUCCUGGGAGAACAAAGGCCUCGACAAAGACAGCGUGUAUAUCCCAAGUGUACAUGGCUGACAACCCCUAAAAGCACUUGGCCCCGAUACAGCAAACCAGGUCUGUCAAUGCGGCUGCUGGAAUCCAAGAAAGGCCUUUCUUUCUUUGCAUUUGAGCACAAUGAGGAGUACCAGCAAGCACAGCACAAGUUCCUGGUGGCUGUGGAGUCCAUGGAGCCAAACAACAUUGUGGUUCUGCUCCAGACAAGUCCCUAUCAUGUUGACUCACUUCUGCAGCUCAGUGACGCCUGCCGCUUUCAGGAGGAUCAAGAGAUGGCUCGAGACCUUAUAGAGAGAGCACUGUACAGCAUGGAGUGUGCAUUCCAUCCCUUGUUCAGUCUCACCAGUGGGACUUGCCGGCUGGAUUACCGCAGACCUGAGAACAGGAGCUUCUACCUGGCCCUCUACAAGCAGAUGAGUUUCUUGGAGAAGCGAGGAUGCCCACGUACUGCACUGGAGUACUGCAAGCUCAUCCUGAGCCUGGAGCCCGAUGAGGACCCCCUGUGCAUGCUGCUGCUUAUUGACCACUUGGCCUUACGGGCCCGGAACUAUGAGUACCUGAUCCGCCUCUUCCAGGAGUGGGAGGCUCAUCGGAACCUAUCCCAGCUCCCAAAUUUUGCCUUCUCAGUUCCACUGGCAUAUUUCCUUCUGAGUCAGCAAACAGACCUACCUGAGCAUGAGCUCGCCUCUGCCAGGCAGCAGGCUUCCCUCCUGAUACAGCAGGCGCUCACUAUGUUCCCUGGAGCUCUUAUGCCAUUGCUGGAGUAUUGUAGUGUGCGGCCUGAUGCAACAGUUUCAGAUCACCGCUUUUUUGGGCCAGAUGCUGAGAUAAGCCAGCCCCCCGCCCUGAGCCAGCUGGUGAGCCUGUACCUUGGGAGGUCACACUUUCUUUGGAAAGAACCCGCCAUUAUGAGCUGGCUGGAGGAAAACGUCCGUGAGGUUCUGCAAGCAGUGGAUGCUGGGGACCCUGCUGUGGAGGCCUGUGAGAAUAGGCGGAAGGUGCUGUACCAGCGUGCACCCAGAAACAUCCACCGCCAUGUGAUACUCUCUGAGAUCAAGGAGGCUGUUGCUGCCCUCCCCUCGGAUGUGACCACACAGUCUGUGAUGGGGUUUGAUCCUCUGCCUCCCCUGGACACCAUCUACUCUUACGUCCGACCAGAAAGGCUGAGUCCAGUCAGCCAUGGCAACACAAUCGCCCUCUUCUUCCGAUCAUUAUUGCCAAAUUACACCACAGAGGGGGAGAGGCUGGAGGAAGGAGUGGCCGGGGGUCCGAACCGCAAUCAAGGCUUGAACAGGCUGAUGUUGGCCGUACGUGACAUGAUGGCCAACUUCCACUUCAACGACCUGGAGGUGCCUCGGGAGGACAAUCCUGAGGGCGAGGGGGACUGGGACUGACUGUCCAGAUGCUGUGCCCAGAGCUGUGCAAUUAUGUUCCUGAUUCUUUCCUGGUUGGGAUUAACCAGUUCCCUGAAGUAGAAAUGCUGACCAUGUCAUCCACCCGUGUCUUUUGUUUUCCCUCUAAAUGUUCCAGGUUGGAGUGGCCUGUGCUGUAAGUCCAUCCAGAUGAGGCUGUGAUAUCUGGAGCUGCAGCAGCUAUUCUACAACCGCGAGGCAAUGAACUCCAAAAUGAAGAGCCAGUGUACUAGGAACAGUGACGCAGAGGAUGCCCUAGGCCUUCGGGGGACUUCCCACCUCCAGGCCUGUAUCCUGAGAGGCCAUUAAAUGAUUGGCUUCAGAAGUGUUGCUCAGACUUAAGUAAUUUUCAACUGAAUACAUUUCUAAUGGUGAUAAAUAAAAACCAGUCACUCACUCA